AGCGAACGCUGGCGGCAGGCUUAACACAUGCAAGUCGAACGGUCCUUCGGGAUAGUGGCGGACGGGUGAGUAACACGUGGGAACGUACCCUUAGGUUCGGAACAACACAGGGAAACUUGUGCUAAUACCGGAUAAGCCCUUCGGGGGAAAGAUUUAUCGCCUUUGGAGCGGCCCGCGUCUGAUUAGCUUGUUGGUGAGGUAAUGGCUCACCAAGGCUACGAUCAGUAGCUGGUCUGAGAGGAUGGCCAGCCACACUGGGACUGAGACCCGGCCCAGACUCCUACGGGAGGCAGCAGUGGGGAAUUUUGCGCAAUGGGCGAAAGCCUGACGCAGCCAUGCCGCGUGGGUGAUGAAGGUCUUAGGAUUGUAAAAUCCUUUCACCGGGGACGAUAAUGACGGUACCCGGAGAAGAAGCCCCGGCUAACCUCGUGCCAGCAGCCGCGGUAA
rnacentral:rRNA from 1 species